CCGAAACCAGGUGAUCUACCCUUGGUCAGGUUGAAGUUCAGGUAACACUGAAUGGAGGACCGAACCGACUUACGUUGAAAAGUGAGCGGAUGAACUGAGGGUAGCGGAGAAAUUCCAAUCGAACUUGGAGAUAGCUGGUUCUCUCCGAAAUAGCUUUAGGGCUAGCCUCAAGUGAUGAUUAUUGGAGGUAGAGCACUGUUUGGACGAGGGGCCCCUCUCGGGUUACCGAAUUCAGACAAACUCCGAAUGCCAAAUAAUUUAACUUGGGAGUCAGAAUGUGGGUGAUAAGGUCCAUAUUCGAAAGGGAAACAGCCCAGACCACCAGCUAAGGUCCCAAAAUAUAUGUUAAGUGGAAAAGGAUGUGGCGUUGCCCAGACAACUAGGAUGUUGGCUUAGAAGCAGCCAUCAUUUAAAGAGUGCGUAAUAGCUCACUAGUCGAGUGACACUGCGCCGAAAAUGUACCGGGGCUAAACAUAUUACCGAAGCUGUGGAUUGUCCUUUGGACAAUGGUAGGAGAGCGUUCUAAGGGCGUUGAAGCAUGAUCGCAAGGACAUGUGGAGCGCUUAGAAGUGAGAAUGCCGGUGUGAGUAGCGAAAGACGGGUGAGAAUCCCGUCCACCGAUUGACUAAGGUUUCCAGAGGAAGGCUCGUCCGCUCUGGGUUAGUCGGGUCCUAAGCUGAGGCCGACAGGCGUAGGCGAUGGAUAACAGGUUGAUAUUCCUGUACCACCAUUAUUCGUUUUAAGCGAUGGGGGGACGCAGUAGGAUAGGCGAAGCGUGCUGUUGGAGUGCACGUCCAAGCAGUGAGAUUGAGUGUUAGGCAAAUCCGGCACUCUUAAGAUUGAGCUGUGAUGGGGAGAGGAACUUGUUCCUCGAGUCGUUGAUUUCACACUGCCGAGAAAAGCCUCUAGCUAGAAUAACGGUGCCCGUACCGCAAACCGACACAGGUAGUCAAGAUGAGAAUUCUAAGGUGAGCGAGCGAACUCUCGUUAAGGAACUCGGCAAAAUGACCCCGUAACUUCGGGAGAAGGGGUGCUCUUUGAGGUUCACGCUUCGAAGAGCCGCAGUGAAUAGGCCCAAGCGACUGUUUAUCAAAAACACAGGUCUCUGCUAAACCGUAAGGUGACGUAUAGGGGCUGACGCCUGCCCGGUGCUGGAAGGUUAAGAGGAGUGGUUAGCGCAAGCGAAGCUACGAAUCGAAGCCCCAGUAAACGGCGGCCGUAACUAUAACGGUCCUAAGGUAGCGAAAUUCCUUGUCGGGUAAGUUCCGACCCGCACGAAAGGCGUAACGAUUUGGGCACUGUCUCAACGAGAGACUCGGUGAAAUCAUAGUACCGGUGAAGAUGCCGGUUACCCGCGACAGGACGGAAAGACCCCGUGGAGCUUUACUGUAGCCUGAUAUUGAAAUUCGGUACAGUUUGUACAGGAUAGGUAGGAGCCUUAGAAGCGUGAGCGCUAGCUUACGUGGAGGCAUUGGUGGGAUACUACCCUAAUUGUAUUGGAUUUCUAACCCGCAGCACUUAUCGUGCUGGGAGACAGUGUCAGGCGGGCAGUUUGACUGGGGCGGUCGCCUCCUAAAGAGUAACGGAGGCGCUCAAAGGUUCCCUCAGAAUGGUUGGAAAUCAUUCAUAGAGUGUAAAGGCAUAAGGGAGCUUGACUGCGAGACCUACAAGUCGAGCAGGGUCGAAAGACGGACUUAGUGAUCCGGUGGUUCCGCAUGGAAGGGCCAUCGCUCAACGGAUAAAAGCUACCCCGGGGAUAACAGGCUUAUCUCCCCCAAGAGUUCACAUCGACGGGGAGGUUUGGCACCUCGAUGUCGGCUCAUCGCAUCCUGGGGCUGUAGUCGGUCCCAAGGGUUGGGCUGUUCGCCCAUUAAAGCGGUACGCGAGCUGGGUUCAGAACGUCGUGAGACAGUUCGGUCCCUAUCCGUCGUGGGCGUAGGAAAUUUGAGAGGAGCUGUCCUUAGUACGAGAGGACCGGGAUGGACAUACCUCUGGUGUACCAGUUGUCGUGCCAACGGCAUAGCUGGGUAGCUAUGUAUGGACGGGAUAAGUGCUGAAAGCAUCUAAGCAUGAAGCCCCCCU
rnacentral:rRNA from 1 species